UGCAGCUGAUCGAGUUCACCCAGUGGCCGAGCGAGUGAGCGCUCCUCGGACUUGGGUGAAGAAAGGCACGGAAAAGUAUCCUGGAGGAGAAGUUGGCGAUUUUAGGGGUGGGGUGGGGAUAGGGGCGAGGGAGUGGGGGAUCCUCAAAUUAUUCCGCUUUUAAAAUGAUCAUAGGUAGUGUCAAGAAUACAUGUAUGUCUCCCUUGCUUCUUUGUGAAGGGGCGGUGGAUAAGAAAAUACAGGUAGGCUUGGGAUUAAAAUAAUAGGUGCCAGAGGUUUCACACCGGCUCCGUUGCAUCGGGUAUUACAAGACCAGCAUUGGCUAAGUCCUAGUCAACCUCCCGUCAAAAUUAUUAGGAAGAAGAAUCUUUGCCCGUGGUUACCUCUAACUACGUUAUUUGGAUGGUAGGUACAGCAGCCUUAAAGAAAAUGUUAACAAACAUUACCUCGCGAUUACCCCUCACUCACUCACCCCAGAAUAAUCAAAGAGAAGAGGGUUCAUACAGGAUUUACGCCGUUUUGACGCCUGGGUAACAAACUUUAAGAUUUAAUAGGUAAGAAAUUUCAAACGCUUACAUUCCGGGCUUCAACGUAAAGCCAUAGAACAUUCACUUUGGUUUGACAUUUCUUGGAUGAAAAAUAACCACCAAGAUGUCUUUAGAUAAUGUGGCUCUUGAAGAGCUCUUUGGGGUUUGCAAGUUACAAAUGCUAAGGAGGGCGCCUCCGGCCAAAGCUUAGAACGUCUCUGUCUCCCGGCACAGUAAACGGCUUUUAAUAAGGCAACCGCAUUUAUUACUUAAAGAUCCUAUAAAAGCUAGGAUUUGCAAGGACUGCGAAGCAGAAAUCUUCAUACCUAAGUCGAUUAGACACUCAUUUUCUUAGGUAGGAUGGGGACAAGUAUUAUUGGUGUGUCGCUCGAAUUUAAUCAGAUCAAAGGUUGAAUCAUGUUGCCUCGUGACAACAGGGUGUUUAUGAGGUGUGUUACAAGUACUAGGGCUGAACACCACUACCACCACUCUCUCACACACACACACACACACACACACACACACACACACACACACACACACCCCUUUCCUAGGACAUUUACCAUUGCAGCCUCAAAUUCAUCACACUGUGAAGUCUUCUCUUGGAAUAAGAAUAGCGAUUGAAAAUAUGUCCAAGUCUAUAUACCCUGUAGGAAACUUUUGGCACGAGAUUCAAACUUUGAAAAGAAAAAAAAAAAUCAGGUCGGCCAGGUUAGGUGUCCGAGAUAAAGAAAGAAACUUGGCUUGAGCGUCCCCAGACUUCACUCUCUCCACUCCGUUACUGAAACAACAUAGACUCAUGCAAACACGCCACUCACACUUCCAGCGAUCGGCUAUUGUAUCAAAUGUUCUAAUCGAGAUGUGACCAUUUAGGCUCGGGACAGAAACAAUCUAUCAACGUGCCCAUUAGAUGCAGGGUGGAAUACUGUUUCUAUUGGUUGGGUCCUUUCGAGGUAAGCGGGUGUACGGAGCAGGGGGAUUUGGGUUCGGUGAACGGAUCAAGGCUACUUCCUUUCUUCUUUUUCCUCCUAUUAUUUUCUUGAAGUAUCCCAGUUUGUGCUUAUGUUAAAGCCAGCCCAGACGUACACUAGUAGGAGUAAAGGAUGUAUGCCCUCUGCACCUUAAAACCAUCUGCUUAGUUUUGACAUUUGAAAGGGAGGAGGGCGGGUAAGGAGGAGGGGGAGAAGGGGGAAGAAAGGAAGCUGAGAGAGAGAAAAGAUUCAGACUUUGGAAGGAAUGGCUUGAACUGCAGCCCACAAGUUUAUGUCAAUUGCACCUAGCGCUCGAUGCAGGUUUUGUACAUACUACGCUCGGGAACUGAUGGCGGGAAAAGUUCCCUGUGAGCCCCAGUAAGUCCUUUAUCACUCCCCCCUGGAAGGCAGGCCCGAGUCGAAGUCGGGGUAGCCCGUUUGGCAAACAAGAAAGCGCCCCCACCCCCAGCCUCAGCGGCGGAGGCUCGCGGCUCGCCACGCUCGGCGGUGGCAGUUCGCAGCCCGCUUUAGGGCGCAGGAACUGCUGGUUGGAAUAGGAGCGCGCGCGACGCUGGGCGAGCGAGCUCAGUCCGCAGCCCGGUUCCGCGAACCGCUUACGCAGAGCCCUGUCCUGUCCCCUACUGUCGGGACGAUGGACAGGCCAGGCUCUUGGGCAACCUCUCUGGCCAGCGCCGCGGCGCUCUCGCGGGUCUCACGCCGCACUGGAGCAAGGCGUGAGGCCUGAGCCCCUUAUCUCCGGCGGCUCCGGGUUUGUUUUUCUGAUAGGGGAGAAGCGAUCAGUCAGCCGGGAGACGACAAGUCGCCUAGAUAUUGGCUCCAUUUCUGAAACCAGCGGCCAAGCCUAGGGGGUCAAUCCUUUCUCCAACCCACUGCCAGCACAACCCCAAUAAUUUAAAAGUUAACCCAAGUUCUGACCGAUCCUCAACAAACCCCAUCCGUGCAGGCUGCGUUUCCUUAUUUAUCUGAAGGGCGAUCUGUGUGUUCUUAGUCAAAUUUGAAGUAAUCACUUGUGCAUCUGCUUCUGGGUUAAAAACACUUCACCUUGAUAUUUCUUCGAUGUAGUUCCCCCCUCCUGUUCUUUCUUAAAGCCGUUAGGUGGGAGUAAAAGGGAAGAUUGCCUAUAAGUAAUUUAAAACCUUGCAAACUAUCGUCAUCAGAUCCUAAACAAACCAAUUCUGGGAAUUUCAACCAGAUCCAAUUGCGAGACAAACGUGGGCGUGAAUUUAGGAGAAGGAUCCUGGAGAUCUUGCCUGGACACACAUACCACCAGCCACCACCCUAAAGAGAGGAAGAGAAAGAAAGAGAAGCCAACUCCAGGGUGCAGGCCGGCCUGCUUGAGGCUGUCUAGAGUCAGAUUAACUGACCUCCAUAUUCGUGUCUCUCUCUCUCUCUCUCUCUCUCUCUCUCUCUCUCUCUCUCUCUCUCACUCUCCCUCUGCCCCUGUGCCCAGCGUGACGCCAAGCUCAACCUGGAUUUGCUCUGAAUGUUUGAAUGAGGGGAAAGUGACAUACCACAAGAUCAGUGGCGAUAGCAGCUGCAGAGUUUCUCUCCUGGGAACCCCACUGCUUAGAAACCUCCCGAGUGAUGUUUGUUUCACCAACAGCUUUCAAAGUGAACAAAAGCGCAUCACUCCAAAGAAGUUGAAAUAUAACCCUUACAAGAAUUUGGGGUCAGGGUGCUGGCAGAGAAAGUAAUUUUUAAAAAUAAUAAAGCCCCCCACCACCCGAAUAAGGGUCCAUCACAACGCCUAAAGGACCCUAGAAUAGUCAUCGGUCCAUCAAUUCAUCGAAAGGAUUCAUGACCAAAAAGUGACCUCGAAGAUCACUCUUUCCUCACAAACCACACGCCUGCGGGGAGAGGGGGCUGGCGGUCAGAAAGUGAAGGGGCACACUAUACUACCUGAUUUUAUGGAAGCGAGAGAAAACAAUCAAAAGGAGAGGCAAGCAUUCUUCGCUUUCAAUAGGACAGAAGCGCUCCUUGGCAGUGGAACCCUCCUGGUCUGGUGAGGGAGGAACAACGGACUGUUCUGUACACAGGCGUCACCCAAAACUUCCUCCGUUCACACUGAGGAAAGAACUUGGGCAGGGGCUGUGGAUUCCCGUUAUCUAAGGAGGAUUCUGACUGUGGGAGCCAAUCAGAAGCUGGACAACCUUGAGGUCACCCAUAUAUAGAAGAUGUAGAGCCACUACAUAGAAGGAACCUGGAUUUCUGAAUGACUGUUUGAAGGAGCCCAGGACAGCUGCCCAACCAGGAAUAUCCAUGUUAGACUCUUUGGUCCCAUGGGAACAGAAAGUUUUGAGGGAGUUUACUGUUUGUGCAAGAUGACUGGUUGGGUAGAGAAGUCCAAAGUUUACUAUCUGCAGAACAAAUAAAGCCUGGGCAAAGGGAAGUUGAAGAGAACUGGAUGGAACUUAAGCCUGACAAGUCCUGGCAGUCCUUUCUGUAGACAGCAGCCUCUUGGAGCAUCACAAAAUAAUGGAAGGAAUUUGGGUUCCUGAGUCACCACCUGGAAGAGAGCCUCCAAGGACAGCUGCCAGACUUGCAUCGGAUAGCAAUGUGAGGGAGAAGUGAACCUAUGUGUGAGAUUACUGAGACUGUUAUUACAGCAACUGGUAUUUAUUGCUCUAAUACAGAAAUUGGUAUCACAAAUGGGAUAUUGGCAUAACCAAGUCGUACUCCCUGACUGUUACACUCUCCUAAAUAUGUAUCAUUACUCUAGUAAUGCAGCUGUAGGCAGAAAGGAAACUCAUACCAGAAAAUGGAAAGAUGGACACUCGGGUUAUGCAGUGAAAAAUCAUUUGGUAUAACUAUCGCCUGCUAUUAAUUAGAAGGCAGUCAUAUGCAUAGUUUAUAUCUUUAGGGGAAAUGGUUAGAAACAGGAUUUUAGCAGUGUUUUUGGCUAAACUUAAUAUGUAUUACAAGGAAGAGAUAACUCAGGAAAGAAUCCACGAGCUUGCAAGCAGAAAUAAAAUAGAAUAGAGAGCCCAGCAAUUUGAGCUGUAGGAUCGAAAAUCAUAAAUUCAUUAUAGACUCAGUAAGACAUGGUACCAAAAAAGGGCUUUAAGUGACAAAUAUGCAGUAAAAGUUCUCAGUGGGAUGCAGUUAUUUGAGGCAAAAAUCAAAGUAGGGGUAUGGCCUUCCCACUAUUGCUUCUGAUAGCCUCAGUGUAUUUAGCAAAGAGAGUGAAAGGCAUGGAGGUAAAGAGGCAAAGAAAAAGGGUAGAUUUGAUAACAAUGUCUAGAAAAUAACUCUGGGUGUGGCUACUGUCAUAUGGACCUGACUCGAAGAAAUGUAUCAUAAGUCAUCUACAUUUUUGAGAAUCACAUUGCCAAAGAAACCAGGAGCUUGGACUUGAAAAGUCCUUGCUUGUUCAAGGCUUAAAACAAUUCUUGACUUCCCAACCCAUUCUAGACUGAGGAGAAGCCAAACUCUUAGAGCUGCUCUGUUCUGAAGGAAGAACGUUCUCUGAAACCGACUUCGUAUGUGGCCAUAGAGAAGAACAAGUAAGGGAGUCGGUCCUAGAGCUAACUUCGCACACAUUCACCAUGCCCAGAGCCAGAGGGUAUGGGUUUCACAGUGCUGACCCUGAGGGGCGUCUGCCUGGCUGUGGACCAUGAUGCUCCAUGUUGUCUAUGAUGUUUCCUGGCAAAUGGGAUUAUUUUCCUGUCCUUUCCCCACCAUUAUGAAUGAGUGUUGGUGGGGAAGCAGAGUGCAGAUAACUUGUCUUUUUAAUAUGUGGGCUGCCACACCUAGAGGAACCACAUCAGGCUGGUGGAGAAGAUGGCGCAUCACCCGGAUAUUCUGGACAUUGACCUGGAAGUGGUGCCUGGAUGGGACUUUGCAUUGUCUUCUUGGGUGAGCUGGAAGCAAAGGACUCCAAGAUGGAUGAGCCACAUGAUGGAAGGAGCCCAACCUACACCAGAUGUCCAUGAGAGAAGAGAAGAAGCAAAGAGACCUGGCCCUGAUCUGUAUGAGUUCAGUAGCUGGGAGAGACCACGUAAAGUUAUAAAGAACACGAGGUGAUAAACACAAACGAUCCUUCAGCAUCCUGCUCCCUGCUCAGCUUGUCACGCGCAGCGGGAAGACAAACAGUCGACAUUGUUUUUGAGGUGAAAAUCUUGAACAGUCACUGCUUUGCUCUCAGAGCCAAUGCUGGGGAGCCUGGGGGAACCAGUGUCACUGCUUCGGGUUUGCUUCUGACUCAAACAGCGGAGAAAACUUCUCACACAAAGAAUUGAGAAACUUCCGGUUCUGAGGUGAACCUGUCACAGCAGCAGCUCUUGUCAGUGUGGUUGGUACAGGACCCUACUCUGCAAACCCAGGUUACAUCUGUGCGUGUGGUGGCGAAUGCCUUGCGGUGAGGUCGGAGGAAGAGGAGACUGCUCCCUGCAAUCAAGUAGACACAAAACCUCUGUUCUUUGGUUUCCCUUCACAAUCUCAGAACAACCAGCGAAAUCAGGAACAGUGGACUAGAAGUGGGGAGCUUCACACUUGUUAGGCAACACAUAGGAAAAACAACAAAAUCGUUUGAUGGGUGGCCUCCAAUCAAUGCUUGCAAAAUUAAAAAGGAAACUCUAACUGGUUAUUUAUUUUCUUGCAGAUCCUAAGCUCCCAGCUAUUUUGCUAAAGGAGCUCAAUGUAAGGAAAAACUCUAAGGAUUGGCUCAUUCAUUUUCCUGUUUUAGGGGGAAGACUGAGGUGGUGGAGGGGUGGUACGUGGAGGUGGGUACGGUGCACACCUGCCUUCACACUUUUUCUUCAAGGUGCAUCUUGCUGGACUAAUCUCUAAAGAGCCAUACUUAGUGGUAUAUUUGCUUAAGGAACUCCAGCAAAUUGAUAUCCUUUUUCCAUUCACAUACUAUUGAGAGACUUUUAGCCAUCUCUUAUUUGAACUUAAUGCCUAAUACAACUUCAUUACAUAAGGUUCUGUGAUAUUUAAGCAGAUUUCAUUUUUAAUUUUUUUUGUUUGUUUUAGCAUUUUGGUCUCUUGCUUGUAACUUUGGGAAGAUCGU